UGGCCGAAGUGAGCUCCGAAGUGGACUCGCCCAGGCCAUGUGCACAUAUGUGUGUGUGUGCUGUCCAGGGGGAGCGUCAGGGCUGAGUGCCAGGCAUGUUCCCAACCUGUGGGCUCCCCCACGCCCCACCCCAGCCCCGCGGUGAUCCAGGGCCUCUGAGCAGCUCUGCACCCUAGGUGUGGGCGGUGCCAGCCCUGCUGAGGUCACACGUGCGACCAGGGGCCCUGGGCCGGGGAUUUGGUGUCACUGGGAAGGAAGCUGGGGGCUGAGACAGGGCAGGCCAAGUGGGCAGAGCCCCUGGUGAGUGGACAGGAAGCUGGGCAUCGGAUGCCCCCUAGACAGGCCAGGACAGAGCUGCUUUUCUCCGCUUGGUCUCCUUCCAGAGAAGAGCCCUGUGGGGUCUGUUUCAGGGUCUCAGAAAGCCCAUGAGUCACUUCAGGGCGGGGACGCUGGAGCCAGCAAGGGCAGGCUGGGCCAGGAAGAGUGGGGGUCCCGGCCAGCUCUGCCCCCAGGCUCUGAGGCCUGGAGUCAGCCCCUCCUCCCUUCAAACUGUGACUCCAACCCUCCGGAUCCUGGGGGACCCAUGGCCACAGAUUUGUGGGACCGCCUCCUGUGGAGCAGGGUCUCUGACACCCACCUGAGGCUCAUGUGUGAGGUGUGGGGUCAGCAAGGUGACCGCCGGCCCCCCAGGCCGGUCACAGGGGCCACCCUCUUGCCAGGACUUGCUCUUGUCCUGAGGGCCACGGAAGGAGCCCCACUGCCCCGCGGAAGGCAGGCCGUGAGAAAGCCCAGGCCACGCACAGGGACCAUGCGGGGCACUUAGGGGACGGCCAGAGUCCCCCACCACGCUGGGCGUGAUUCCGGCCCCAGCAUCUGCACCCCAGCUGCUCUUCCCGCCAGGACCCCGGCUCUGGAGCAGGGCCGGCCUGUCCUGACCCCUGGCGGCCAGCACGCUGAGAGGCUGAGGGAGCUGCACCCGGAGGCUGUUUGCGGGGCAGUCGCUGCAGCCCAGCGCGCACUCGCCGGCCUUCAGGACGGAACUUUGGGCCUGGCCUUGAGGCUGGCCUGCCAUCUGCUGCCCCGGGAGCCCGGGAUGGGGGCUGGGGACCUGGAGCCGCCUGCACUGCUGGCUGCGCCCUGGGGGCAGGGCUGGGGUGAGCAUGGGCCCCGCCGGCUUCCCUCCCACCCGGACCCACAAGGCUGCCCAAGGAGAGGGGCCUGCGGUCCUUGCUCGUGAGAGCCCGUCCCGCCUCCUGUGAAGGAGAGGAGGUGCCCUCCCUUCCGCCCCCAGCUCUGAGCCUUCUGAGCUGCUCCCGGCAGCACUCGCACCCCGCGUCGUGACGCCGCUGCAUCUCGUUCUCCAAGUGGCGGCUCUCGCACCGAGGCUCCUCAGAUUGGCCCAAGGAUGGAAGCGGCAGCUUUCAGAGAAGGCCGGGGCCCCCCACGGGAGAGGCUGAUUCUGCAAGCCACCCCCCCACCCGCGUGCCCCUCAGGCUGCUCUCUGCCCAGGCAGCCCUCCCGCCCUGGGGAUGGGCUCGGAGGCCUAGCCAGCAGACACAGGGUGGCGUGGGUGCUCAGCCCCUGUUUACAGCCCAGGGAGGGGCAGCAGCCAGCCCGGGCCAGCAGGUCUGGGCAGGGCUUGAGGGCUCCAGGGCAGGCGCAGUGAGACUGGGGACUGGACAGGUUGGAGGGCGGAGCAGAGACGCCUCAACACGUGAAAUCGCAGGCUGGGACUCUCCGAAAUCUUUAGCUUCUUCCAAAGAGCACAGAAACCUGUCAGAGGCUAUUACUUGGUGAUGGGGGGCAAGGGUUCUGUCGCUCACCCCCAAGGGUGGCCCUCGAUCGUGUGGCCUGCCUGUGCCCCACAGCAGGCACUGACCCCACAGUGCCCACUUGGGCUGGCAUCCUGCCCACAUGUCUGCGUAGACCCAGCCCCUCAGGGAUGCUCAGCUGAACCGAACCUGGGCCCCGGCUCUUGGCCCCGUUCCGAUGCCCAGUGAUCCUGUCUCGAGACCCUCAGUCCCAUCUGCAAAGACGCUUUUUCCAAAUGAGGUCACGAGCACAUGUUCUGGGUAGACGUGAAUGUCUGGGUCACGCAGCAACUUCUCUGCAAGGGACCCCUGUAACCACAGGGACAGGCGCUUCCGUCCACCCCCUUAAUGCGGGGUGAGGCUGGGGGCUGUGUCCUCCUGCCCUGGGCUGUUGAAAGCCAGGCUGGGCUUUCUCCCCCCAGGUGGGCCUUCCAGCCAAGAAGGUGGCGGGCUGGACGUGCCUGCAGAGGCCCCGGGGGCGGCUGUUCUCGGCAGCAUCCUCUUCCUGGAGAGCGACCCCCUUCAGCCCCGAGACCCCAGGAAAGGGCCCUGGCACCCCAGCCCCGACCAGCAGCGCUGCCCGUCGUUGCUGACGGCAGACGCCCUCUCUCUGGGGUCCAGGCACCCUGCUUGCUCUAUCUCUUCUCCUUCUGCACAUCUUGCCGCCGCCGAGUACAGGUGUAGGUGCCCAGCCAGCCUUCAGGAGAACAGCCCCCGGGGGAUGCCUGACACACGGUCAACUCGCGUGUUUGACGCGAAAGCCUUAUCUCCUCCAGGAGGUAUUCACGCGCUCAUCGCGGCUCCCGGUGCCCCUGUGAGAGCCCCUCCCCGCUCCAGGCAGGGCCCCCACCCCCCAGCUGCAUCCUGUCACGCGGGCGGGCGCAGCGAAGUGCGGGCUGCCUGCCCAGAAUCCGAGAAUCGGCUGCUCUCAGCGUGAUUAUUUCAAGAUGUGUCUACAGGGCCUCCGCGCCGAGUUCACGCCCGUGGUCUCCAGGCUGGGAUCUGCUCAUCCUUUCUCCGCGCGCCUGGUGGGGGCAGCGCUGGAAGCCCAGCAGCUUCCGAACCCCGACCUGGGGCUUCUGCGGGUUGUCAGGGAUGCGGCGGCCUCUGGAGGUGACCCAAGGGGCAGCCUCUGUGCCGGCACCGUGUCUGGGGAGCGGGGGCCCUGUUCUGGGCGGCGAUGUCCAGUGCCCGAGCUGCUGCGCUGACCCUGCCAGGCUGCAGGGGACGCCUCGAGUGUGACCCAUCCUUGGGCCACCCUUGGGGCAGGGGAAACCGUGGUCCCGCAGCUCCCAAGGCCCACGGUUUCUCCGGACGGGCUGCAGGCGGAUGGACCUUGGAUGGCAGAUGGAAGAAGCCAGGUACAAAGGGCCGCACAGCCUGUGAGUCCACUUACACGAAACGUCCAGAACAGGCAGAUCCACAGCUGGCAAGUGGUGCUGACUAAUAUUCCACCGUCUGGAUGGCCCACCGUUCACCCAUUCACCUCCUGAAGGGCGUCCUGGUUGCUUCCAGGUCUUGUCCAUUAUGAAUAAAACUGCCGUGAACAUCCAGAUGGCCGGAGGGGCCUCUGAUGGCCCUGGCUGCCCCUGCGACAGCGCCUGGCUCAGGGGGCAGCACUUCCUCAGGCCCGAGUGUCCCAGCCGGCUGUGAGGACCAACUACAGCUGGACAAGUGACUUGAUCUGCAGUUUUCCUCCCUGUCAGUCAGCUCUCAUUGCACCGAAAUCAUGUUUAGACGAUAGGACCAGGCACACUGGCUGCCGCUGCCCCGGAGGAUUCUAGGCGGAUGGGCUAGAUGAGAUGCCUGAUGAGACAGGAUGUCCUCGACAGCAGCUCUGAAGUCCAAAUUCUGCCACUUUGGAACCAGCAGCCUGAACACCAGCCUGGACCAGCCCUGCGCUCCAUGGCCCAGUCCACUGCUGCCCUUCACGCAGGGCUCCCCGGCCGCUCCGUAGACCAUCUGGGCUCUAGGCAUCGUUAAUUUUCUCAUUUUUGUUUCAUGUUUCAGCUUUGUGCCGAGAAUAUCAAUGAAGGAUAUUUAAAUUUAACAAUGAAGGAUAUUUAAAAUUCCGUUCCUUUUUUUCCCUCUUAUUGAAGUAAAACGUACACUCAGAAGUGGCACGUGCACCGUGCUGACGGAUGGCAUGCUGCUUUUGCCCAGAUCGUUCAAGGGCUGGGCAGGCAGCAGGGCCAAGUGGGUCGGACUUGCCCCCAACUGCGAGCAUGCCCCCCCCGCCCCCCCCAAGAAAAAUACAGCGAAGCAGCAACAAUAAGAGAAGUUUGUGUCACCACGAAGAAAGUCCAAGUGCCCGGGAAUGAACUUGGGGGUCCACCCUGGUUUUGGGGGUCAGGAAACAAGCAAAAGUGCACCUUUUUUUUUUUUUUUUUUUGGCAGCAAUGCAUGGCUUGUGGGACCUUAGUUCCCCGACCAGGGAUCGAACCCAUGCCCCUGCAAUGGAAGCACUGAGCCUUAACCACUGGACCGCCAGGGAAGCCCCAACAAAACUGCACCUUUGACCUCAAGUAUGUUAAAAUGAAGACAGAACUCAGUGCUGUGAUGGCAUUUUUGCUUUUUAAUUUUUUAACUGAAAUACUAACCUCCAUGCAGACAAGCUUCUAACCAUAUAUCUGCAGCUUGGUGGUCAUCCCAGAGUGAAUGCAGCCGGGCGCCCGCCAUCCAGGCCAAGGCACGGGACACAGGGGUCCCUGGAAGGCCCUCCCCUCCCCGACUGACACCGGGGUCAGUUUUGCCUGUUUUCAAACAAUUUUUCUACUGAGAUCUAAUUCCCACAUCAUAAAAGUCACUCUUUCAAAGUGUACAGUUCAGUGGUUUUCAGCUCAUCACAGAGCUGUGCGACCAUCACCGUUACCUAUUUCCAGGACAUUCCCAUCAGCCUCAAAACAACCACCACACUUGUUCACACUCGCUCCCCUCCCCCCAGCCCCUGCAUUCUGCGUUCUGUCUCCGGGUUUGCCUGAUCCAGACAUUUCACAUUAAUGGAACUGAUGCUGAAAACUCAGCCUCUGUGCACUGGCGCUGAUUUGAAUCUCAGAGACAAGAGUUUUGGGUGAAGUAGAAAAGAAGAGCUUUAUUGCUUUGCCAGGCGAAGGGGGACACAGCGGGCUCAUGCCUCUCAAAACCGUGUGUCCCAACCUGGGGUGGGGGGGGAUUUGGUGAGGCGUUUUAGAGCAGUGGUUCAAGGGCGGGGUUGCGGAUAAGCGUCGGGUGUGUGCAGGGCCUCAGGGGGUCUCCUAAUGAGCUUCUGUGGGUCUCGAGGUUCUCAAACUGUGACCUUCUCUGGAAUGAGGAAUGCUUCAUCAACUAGUUAGCAUCUUCCAUUUGUUGGGGGUUUUAGUUCUGCAGAAGAGCUCAGAGAUACUGUUAAGUGUGUAUCCCUUGAGGCGGAACCGCGACCCUGCCCCAAGGCUGCACCAUUGUUUCUUGACUGUUCCUCCCUUGUCUCUGCAUCCCCUCCCUUCCCUGAUUAGCAACUGUUUGAAUCUGCCCUUUGGAACUCAGGGAAGGUCAUGGAGGCUGAAGCCUAUUCCCUACAAACAAGAAACAGGGGCCAUAAGAAAGGCUUUCAUGCCCAGGAGCCCCACAGGGUCCUGCUCGGUUUCAGAAUCACACACUCUGUGGCCUUUUUUGUCUGGCUUCUCUCACUCAGCAUCAUGUUUUUAAGGUUCAUCCAUGUUGUAGCGUCUGUCAGGGCUUCCUUUUAUGGCUGAAUAACAUUCCACUGUGCAGAUGCACCGCAUUUUUUCGAUCCACCCACCUGCUGAGGGGCAUCUAAGCCAUUUCUGCCCUUUGGCUACUGUGAACACAGCUACUCUGAGCAGGUGUGUGCACGGCGUGUGACACCCUGGGGCUCUGAGGCUGGGACGCCUCCCCAGGACCCCUGUCCCCCUCCGGCUGCAGGUGACCCACCACUAAGCUUUUCUGUACCAGGCACCCGGUGGGUAAUCUGGUGAAGCCCACGGACCCCUUCUCAGCUAACCCCUUCUAGCACAUACCAUGAGAUGAAAAUGGAAAUCAACUGUCUUGAAACAUUACUAUUAAAAUAUUUUAAAAAUUGUGGUAGUCAUACACAUGCUUCUUUACUGAUGCCUUAAACGAGCAGCUCUAGCCUGGGUCUGACAGCCGUUGUCACUGGACUAGUGAUGAACAGGACGCUAGCCGGUGGCACCCAUGGCUUUCUUCUCCAUGUGGUGGCACUGACGCCCGGCCUUAUUUGGGCAGGGCUGACCUGCCCAUCCUUUGGGGACAGCACUGCCAGGCCACGGAAGCACUGUCUGCCCUGUAAUGAGUGUGAACUCAGUAGAUGGUUGUCAGAAUCCUACGCACUCCACCCAUCGCUUGAUUUCAAGGAGACUUCUUGUCUGUGUACAUUGUGGGAAAACCGAAAUCCGUUAGAUUUUAUGGAAUUGAAACUAAAGCCAGAAAGAUGUCAUUAUUUUAUUUCUGUAAAGAAGAGGCAGCUGGCAAGUCAAUAAAAAGGUUAAAUUUGCCUUUUCUUCAAACUGAAUUUUCAGGGACUCAGCAUAACGUGGUCACCACCUUCACCGGGCCAUCGCGUCUUAGGCCCUAGCUCUAGAAUCAGGCUGCUGGUCCGCUUCCUACCCUGCACUCCACGUUCCCUGAAUAUAGCUGACAUUCCACUAAGUGUGUGCAUGGGGGCAACUUGGAGGGCACCUGGGGAAUCAGUGUAAAUAAAGAAAAGUCAGGGGAGCUUGGGGCUUGUGAGAGCCUUGGGGGAAAAGUAGGCAAAAAAACCAGAAACCAGAAGGUAUAACCCCCAACGAUGGUCAUUUUUGUUUCUGUGGGGGUGGAAGGGCCUUUGGGUCAGCUGGAGUGGAGGAGGGAGGAGCCACAGAAGCAGAGUUUGGGAGAAGGUGGGUCAGGGCAGCCAGCCCGAGGGUCCUGGUGCUGGAGGGAGUUUCCAUCUUUCUCUCUGGGGUGGACCCUGAGGGACCCAGGGGUGGCCCCAUGUCCUCACGCUCUGAGCUGGUGGGUCAAUGGUUAGAGCAGAAAUAAGUGAAAUUAGAGACUAGAAAACAAUAGGAAAAAAUCACCAAAGCUAGGAGUUGGUUUUUUGAAAAUAAACAAAAUUGACAAGACUUUUGCUAGACUAACCAAGAAAAAAAGAGGACUCAAAUCAACAAAAGCAUAAGUGAAAGAAGAGGGCUUCCCUGGCGGCACAGUGGUUGAGAGUCCGCCUGCCGAUGCAGGGGACGCGGGUUCGUGCCCCGGUCCGGGAAGAUCCCACAUGCCGCUGAGCGGCUGGGCCCGUGAGCCAUGGCCGCUGAGCCUGCGCGUCCGGAGCCUGUGCUCCGCAACGGGAGAGGCCACAACAGUGAGAGGCCCGCGUACUGUUUAAAAAAAAACAAACAAAAAAAAACACAUGCCUAAGGGCUUCCCUGGUGGCGCCGUGGUUGAGAGUCCGCCUGCCGAUGCAGGGGACGCGGGUUCGUGCCCCGGUCCGGGAAGAUCCCACAUGCCGCGGAGCGGCUGGGCCCGUGAGCCAUGGCCGCUGAGCCUGCACGUCUGGAGCCUGUGCUCCGCAUCGGGAGAGGCCACAGCAGUGAGAGGCCUGCGUACCACAAAAAAAAGAAAAAAAGAAGAGACAUUACAACAGAUACCAGAGAAAUACACCGCAAUUAUGCUCCAACAAACUGGAUAGCCUAGAAGGAAUAAAUUCCUAGAAACAUACAGCAUACCAAGACUGAAUCAUGAAGAAACAGAAAAUCGAAAUAAACCAAUAAUGACUAGAGACUGAAUAAGUCAUCAAACAUCUCCCAACAGAGAAAAGCCCAGGACCAGGUGGUUUCAUCGGUGAAUGCUACCAAACAUUUAAAGAAGAAUCAAUGCCAAUCCUUUUCAAAUUCCUCCAAACAUUUUUAGAGGGGUGAAUACUCCCAAACUCAUUUUACAAGGCCAGCAUUACCUUGAUAACAAAGCCAAAUAAGGACAUUACAAGGAAAGAAAACUACAGGCCAAUAUCCUUGAAGAGUAUAGAUGUAAAAAAUCUCAACAAAAGACUGACAAUAGCACAUUAAAGGAUCAUACACCAUAAUCAAGUGGGAUUCAUCCCUGGGAUACAAGGAUGGUUCAAUAUACAGAAAUCAAUAAAUGUGAUAAAACACAUGAAUGGAAUAAAAGAUAAAACUUAUAUGAGUAUCUCAAUAGAUGCAAAAAAAGCACAUUUGAUAAAAUUUAACAGACUUUCCUGUUAAAAUCUCCACAAAUUGGGUAUAGAAGGAAUUUAAGUCAACAUAAUAAACGGCACAUAUGACAAUCACAGCUAACAUCAUACUCAGUGGUGAAAGGUUGAAAGCUUUCCUUUCAAGACCAGAAACAAGACAAAGUUACCCACUCUCACCAGUCCUAUUCAGCCUAGUACUGGAAGUCCUAGCCAGAACCAUUUGGCAAGAAAUAGAAAUAAAGGACAUACAAAUUGCAAAGGAAGAAGUAACAUUGUCUGUUUCCAGAUGACAUGACCUUAUAUAGAGAAAACCCCAACGAUUCCACCAAAAAACUGUUGGAACUAACAAACAAAUUCGGUAAAGUUGCAGGAUACAAAAUUAACAUUCAAAUAGCAGUUGCAUUUCUGUACACUAACAACAAACUAUCCGAAAAAGAAAAGAGGAAAUCGAUCCCUUUUACAAUAGCAUCAAAAACAAUAAAAUACUUAGGAAUAAACUGAAGGCAGUUAAAAAUCUGUACACUGAAAACUAUAAGACAUUGAUGACAGAAACUGAAGACACAAAUAAAUGUAAAGACAGCUUGUGUUCAUGGAUCAGAAGAAUUCAUACUGUUAAAAUGUCCACCCAACUCAAAGCCAUCUGUAGAUUCAAUGUGAUCCCUAUCAAAAUUCCAAUGAUAUUUUUCUCAGAAGGAGAAAAAAAAACAAUCCUAAAAUUCAUAUGGAACCAUAAAAAAUUCCCACACACAAAGGUAACUAGGUGAGGUGAUGGAGGUGUUAACUAAACUUAUUGUGGUAAUCAUUUCACAGUACCCACCUAUACCUAGAGCAAAUGAUCACAUUGCACACCUUAAACUUCCACAAUAUUAUAUGUCAUUUAUUUUAUCUCAGUAAAGUUCCAAAAAAUGAUUUGCCAAACUUGAAAAAAAAAUUAUAUGCUAUGACCAAGAGGAUUUAUCCCAUGAAUUCAAGGCUGGUUCAAUAUCUGAAAAUCAUUAAUGUAAUAUACUACAUUAAUAGAAUGAGUAAAAAUACCACACAUGAUCAUCUCAAUAGUCACACACAUGAGAAGCAUUUGCUGAAAUCCAACACCCUUUCAUGAUAAAAACACUCAACAAAAUAGGAAUAGAUGGGAACUUCCUCAACCUGAUGAAUCCAAACCCCCCAGAGUU